rnacentral:rRNA from 1 species
GACGAACCGGACAAACGUUAUUCGGAAUUACUGGGCUUAAAGGGUGCGUAGGCUGCGCGGUAAGUUGGGUGUGAAAUCCCUCGGCUCAACCGAGGAACUGCGCCCAAUACUGCCGUGCUUGAGGAAGACAGAGGUGAGCGGAACUCAGGGUGGAGCGGUGAAAUGCGUUGAUAUCCUGGGGAACGCCCGUGGCGAAAGCGGCUCACUGGGUCUUUUCUGACGCUGAGGCACGAAAGCUAGGGGAGCGAACGGG